rnacentral:rRNA from 1 species
GAUGCAGCGACGCCGCGUGAGGGAUGACGGCCUUCGGGUUGUAAACCUCUUCAGCAGGGAAGAAGCGAAAGUGACGGUACCUGCAGAAGAAGCGCCGGCUAACUACGUGCCAGCAGCCGCGGUAAUACGUAGGGCGCAAGCGUUGUCCGGAAUUAUUGGGCGUAAAGAGCUCGUAGGCGGCUUGUCACGUCGGGUGUGAAAGCCCGGGGCUUAACCCCGGGUCUGCAUUCGAUACGGGCUAGCUAGAGUGUGGUAGGGGAGAUCGGAAUUCCUGGUGUAGCGGUGAAAUGCGCAGAUAUCAGGAGGAACACCGGUGGCGAAGGCGGAUCUCUGGGCCAUUACUGACGCUGAGGAGCGAAAGCGUGGGGAGCGAACAGGAUUAGAUACCCUGGUAGUCCACGCCGUAAACGGUGGGAACUAGGUGUUGGCGACAUUCCACGUCGUCGGUGCCGCAGCUAACGCAUUAAGUUCCCCGCCUGGGGAGUACGGCCGCAAGGCUA